rnacentral:rRNA from 1 species
CCUGCCCUUCAGAGGGGGACAACAGUUGGAAACGACUGCUAAUACCGCAUACGAUCCAAUCUCGGCAUCGAGACUGGAUGAAAGGUGGCCUCUAUUUAUAAGCUAUCACUGAAGGAGGGGAUUACGUCUGAUUAGCUAGUUGGAGGGGUAACGGCCCACCAAGGCGAUGAUCAGUAGCCGGUCUGAGAGGAUGAACGGCCACAUUGGGACUGAGACACGGCCCAG